AGAGUUUGAUCCUGGCUCAGGAUGAACGCUAGCGGCAGGCCUAACACAUGCAAGUCGAGGGGCAGCAUAGAAAUAGCUUGCUAUUUUGGUGGCGACCGGCGCACGGGUGCGUAACGCGUAUGCAACCUACCCUAUACUGGGGGAUAUCCCGGAGAAAUUCGGACUAACACCCCAUGGUGUUAAUGAGUGGCAUCACUUGUUAAUUAAAGGUUACGGUAUAGGAUGGGCAUGCGUCCCAUUAGCUAGUUGGUGUGGUAACGGCACACCAAGGCAACGAUGGGUAGGGGGCCUGAGAGGGUGAUCCCCCACACUGGUACUGAGACACGGACCAGACUCCUACGGGAGGCAGCAGUGAGGAAUAUUGGUCAAUGGGCGCAAGCCUGAACCAGCCAUGCCGCGUGCAGGAAGACGGUCCUAUGGAUUGUAAACUGCUUUUAUUCGGGGAUAAACCUCUUUACGUGUAGAGAGCUGAAGGUACCGAAAGAAUAAGCACCGGCUAACUCCGUGCCAGCCGCCGCGGUAAUUC
rnacentral:rRNA from 1 species